rnacentral:rRNA from 1 species
GACGAACGCUGGCGGCGUGCCUAAUACAUGCAAGUCGAACGCUGAAGGAGGAGCUUGCUUCUCCGGAUGAGUUGCGAACGGGUGUGUAACGCGUAGGUAACCUGCCUGGUAGCGGGGGAUAACUAUUGGAAACGAUAGCUAAUACCGCAUAACAGUAGAUAUUGCAUGAUAUCUGCUUGAAAGGUGCAAUUGCAUCACUACCAGAUGGACCUGCUUUGUAUUAGCUAGUGGGUGAGGUAACGGCUCACCAAGGGGACGAUACAUAGCCGACCGGAGAGGGGGUUCGCCCACAUUGGAACGGGACACGGGCCAAGACCCUUAGGGGAGGAGCAAGAGGGGAACUUUGGCAAUGGGCGGAAGGCCUGACGAGGAAAGGCGGGGUGGGGGAGGAGGGUUUCGGGAUGGAAAACUCUGUUGUAAGGGGAGGAAGAGUGGUAGAGUGAAAAGUUCACACUGUGACGGUAUCUAACCAGAAAGCGACGGCUAACUACGUG